rnacentral:rRNA from 1 species
GUCCUCCGCAUUGGAUCUUCGAUUGCGGUCGGGUCUGGCACUGCCAUGUUGUUUUGGUUCGAUCGCUGGGCUAGGGACAACCCCUUCGCGGCUUUCCCUGACCUGUUCUCCAUCGUGGUUGACCCGCGGAUUUCUAUCGCGACGGCCCUUAUUGACUUAGGGCAACUCGCGUUCCGGCGUCAAUUUGGACCGGUGGAGAAUGCGGCUUGGCAUGACUUACUCGAUUGCAUCGCGCUGCAUGAACUUGAGCUAGAGAAGGAAGAUGACUGCACCAGGUGGCGACUAGAGCCAUCUGGUCUAUUCUCUACUAAAUCGCUCUACCAGGCGAUCGCCCCCUCUCUGCGUCCUGAGGCUCUUACCUCCAUCUAGGAGAUUCAUCUCCCCUUGAAAAUUAGGAUAUUCCUGUGGCAAUGGAUUCGCGGCCGUCUCCCUUCUGGUGUGGAGGUCCUAAAGCGCAAUGGUCCCGGCGAUGGUCAUUGCCCGCUCUGUGGGCUUGAAGAGGAUUCGAACCAUAUCUUCUACACCUGCGUGUCCGCACAAUUCCUAUGGAGUUGUUUCCGCGAAAUAGCUGGUGGGAGUUGGGACCACAACAACUUCCACGAUCUUUUCGCCGAACUCCAGGCACUAACACCCCCGUCCCGUCACCUUAGAUGGCUGACUAUCAGUGUGCUUACCUGGACGUUGUGGACUAUUAGGAAUAAGCUUGUGAUUCAGCAUAUACCUCUUCGUCGUGCUACUGACACUUUGUUCAAAUGGUCUGGUUACCUGCAGCUUUGGCGGCCGCUUAGCCGCCCCAGGGAGAGAGACGGCAUCACCUCCAUCAUCACCCAGCUUCAUGUGAUGGCUCUCCGGAUGGCUCCGCCUCUUCCCCCUCCACCGCCUGAGCCGGAUUAG